rnacentral:rRNA from 1 species
GACGAACGCUGGCGGCGUGCUUAACACAUGCAAGUCGAACGGAAAGGCCCUGCUUUUGUGGGGUGCUCGAGUGGCGAACGGGUGAGUAACACGUGAGUAACCUGCCCUUGACUUUGGGAUAACUUCAGGAAACUGGGGCUAAUACCGGAUAGGAGCUCCUGCUGCAUGGUGGGGGUUGGAAAGUUUCGGCGGUUGGGGAUGGACUCGCGGCUUAUCAGCUUGUUGGUGGGGUAGUGGCUUACCAAGGCUUGGGCGGGUAGCCGGCCUGGGAGGGUGACCGGCCACAUUGGGACUGAGAUACGGCCCAGACUCCUACGGGAGGCAGCAGUGGGGAAUAUUGCACAAUGGGCGGAAGCCUGAUGCAGCAACGCCGCGUGCGGGAUGACGGCCUUCGGGUUGUAAACCGCUUUCGCCUGUGACGAAGCGUGAGUGACGGUAAUGGGUAAAGAAGCACCGGCUAACUACGUG